UCAGAAUCAGAAAAAAUCCUAUAGUUCCCUCAAAACAAAAGUACUUUAAAAACCAGACUACUGCAUCUUAAAUGAAAGAAUAAAUGCUUUGUCCAAACUGGAUGAAGAGGCGAAAACAUUUUAAUGCAUGUUGUUGCAUCUCAUUUGAAUGUGAAAAUGAUCCACAAUAUCUUAUUUAGACAUUGAAAUUGGAACUGGCUUUAUUAUGUUAGUGAUUACAUCAUGAGUAUUUUGCUGUGGAUGACAUAUAAUGGUUUUGCUGAACUUGAUCCACAACAUCGUUAGCAAUCUGCUGAUGAGUUCCAUGUUUUUGGCGAAUGCUAAUGCAGCUGAAAAGCAAAGGUUUCUGAAGUAAUUUCUCCACGAAACCUUUUCUUAGUGUUGCUCUAUGGUUUUCCUCAUGCAACACUGAAUGUUGAAAUUUUCUUGCAUUUGAUGGUAAAACUGUAUUCAUUUUUCUUACAUUUAAUGGUCAGAAUUGUAUUCAGCCACUCGAUUGUCCUGCAAAGUUCAUAUUUCCGAUUUUGGAGUGUGUUUGUUGAUAUGAUUGGCAUUCUAUGAAAAACUAAGCCUCUUCUUUCAUGUGCUAACUAACUGUUGGCAUCAUCCUAAACUUUUUUGAACUUUAAAUCAUUGUUAGUUUGCUGAGGAAGAGUGCUGUCUGUUAACUAAAUAGCACACUUCGGGGCUGUUUUGGAUGCUAGAAGAUUUUAUCAGUUCAAUAUGAUCUUCCAGAGGGGGUGGUACAUUACGUAGGAGAAGCGCAGAGAAGUGGGCAAUCUAGCUACUAUAUCAAGAUUUUUAAGAAUAAUAAAAACCAUUUCAGAGGUGUUUUUAUCCGAUCCAGGAAAAACGAGAUUUUACAUUUGAAGGUUCCCUGAUAUCUUGAGACUCCUCUCCUUUUCGCUGAUGAAGAAUUUCAUGGUGAACAGUAAUCCAUGGAUAGUGGUCUCUGGCAUCCAAACAGCCCGUUCAGCUAAUUACAAUGCAUUCUGCUGUUUAUGCAGAAUAGCUACUUCAAAUUCAGGAAGUUUUGUGACUUGAA
rnacentral:lncRNA from 1 species